CCCCGUCCUUUGUAUUCCCAGGACUGUCCAGAGGAGAAGGUCCCAGAGAACCCUCAGAUGAUAAAUCAGGGGGAAGAUCUGACUGAUAUUAAAGUGGAGGAUGAAGAAGAGCGGAUGAUGGGCGAUCUCCCAUGUAAGAUUGAGGUGGAGGAAGACAUUCCAGGAGAUGUCACCACAGAUGGAUCCAGGAGGAGAAAUCCACCAGAGAGAUGUCCCGUCCUUUGUAUUCCCAGGACUGUC